rnacentral:tRNA from 1 species
GGUGGGUUGGCUCAGUGGUUAGAGCGUAGCUCUCGUAACCGAAAGGCCGCGAUCGAAUCCCGCUAGAGGCUG